rnacentral:rRNA from 1 species
UACGGGAGGCAGCAGUCGGGAAUAUUACCCAAUGGAGGAAACUCUGACGCAGCGACCCCGCGUGCAGGAAGAAGGUUUUCGGAUUGUACAAUGCGUUAGACAGGGAAGAAAAAGACAGUACCAUAGAAUAAGCUCCGGCUAACUACGUGCCAGCAGCCGCGGUAAU